CAGUAAGAGCCUACGUCCUAAGAGAUAUUUAUGCCUGCAGUAAAGAAUAUUGUGCAAUGUACGGCAGUAUGACACAGAGAGCACACGCCCUCUUGGCCUGUCCAACUAAGUGCCAGCAGACGCGGUUAGACUUAGGGGCCAAGCCUUGAUGAGCAAAGGGGCGUAAAGGGUGUGUAGGCCGACUGCCCCACCCCACCCAAGGUGGUAAAUGGAAUUUUUCUGUAGCGGUAGAAUGUGCGGAUAGAAAAUAGAACCCCAAAAGCAGAAGCAAUUUACCACGGGGCGGGAGGGGGGGCCCCUUCGAAGUAGAUCCCUCAGAGCAUUGGAAUAAUGCUCUGAGGGAUCAUGAUCACCCUGUAGCCCAAUGGGCUACAGGGUGAUCAUGAACCAGUCGGAGACUGGUUCUAGCCCAUUCUGGGCUGCUUGAGUCUUGGGGCGCCCCAGGUCACGGGCUGAAACACGAGGGUGUGGGGAACAAACAGGAUUAGAGACCCUGGUAGUCCACACUGUAAACGAUGGAGAAAAUGCGAAUGCAGCCCCGAAAGGCAGCAAUCUCCCGCCUGAGUAGUACGAUCGCAAGAUUAAAAUUCAAAAAAUUUGGCUGUUCACCGUUUCGAUUAGAGGAGCGUGUAGUUUAAUUCGAUAAACCGCGAGAUACCUUACCCAAACUUGAAUCCUUGAGGAUUCCAAGGCCUUCUUAGAAGACUCGAAUCCUUAUGGACCGGUAUUGCAUGGCCGUCGUCAGUUCGUGUAUGAAACCUUAAACGGACCCAACCCGAGGAUUAGAUCUUUGAUCAUGAUAAUCAAGGAUUAUCUAGCCGCGGAUGAAGUCAGGUCUUAUGGUCCCAAUGUUUGGGGAUAAUAUGCGCUACAUUUUCUUAUACAAUGGGAAACCUGGGAGGUGAAACCCCAAAGUGAGAGUUCGGUAGGCUAUUGGAAGAUGGCCGAAAGUUGAAUUUAAUAGUAAUCGGAAAGUAUAGCGUUCCGGUGAAAAUGGUCUAGGUGUUAGCACAAAUCGCCCGUCACCUUAACUUAGGAUGAUGGUUCGGACGCCGCCGCGCCCCUCACAGCCACUGCCCACCGCGCCACACGCGCUGAACC
rnacentral:rRNA from 1 species